rnacentral:rRNA from 1 species
GACGAACGCUGGCGGCGUGCUUAACACAUGCAAGUCGUACGGUAAGGCCCUUUCGGGGGUACACGAGUGGCGCACGGGUGAGUAACACGUGAGUAACCUGCCCACAACUUUGGGAUAACGCUAGGAAACUGGUGCUAAUACUGGAUAUGUGCUCCUGCUGCAUGGUGGGGGUUGGAAAGCUCCGGCGGUUGUGGAUGGACUCGCGGCCUAUCAGCUGGUUGGUGGGGUAGUGGCCUACCAAGGCGGCGACGGGUAGCCGGCCUGAGAGGGUGACCGGCCACCGUGGGACUGAGAUACGGCCCAGACUCCUACGGGAGGCAGCAGUGGGGAAUAUUGCACGAUGGGCGCAAGCCUGAUGCAGCAACGCCGCGUGCGGGAUGACGGCCUUCGGGUUGUAAACCGCUUUCAGCAGGGACGAAGCUUUUUGUGACGGUACCUGCAGAAGAAGCACCGGCUAACUACGUG